AAACUAACAAGGAUUCCCCUAGUAACUGCGAGUGAAGCGGGAAAAGCUCAAAUUUAAAAUCUGGCAGUCUUUUUGGCUGUCCGAGUUGUAAUCUAGAGAAGUGCUAUCCGUGCUGGACCAUGUAUAAGUCUCCUGGGAUGGAGCAUCACAGAGGGUGAGAAUCCCGUCUAUGACAUGGACUUCCCAGUGCAUUGUGAUGUGCUCUCAAAGAGUCGAGUUGUUUGGGAAUGCAGCUCUAAAUGGGUGGUAAAUUCCAUCUAAAGCUAAAUAUUGGCGAGAGACCGAUAGCGAACAAGUACCGUGAGGGAAAGAUGAAAAGAACUUUGGAAAGAGAGUUAAACAGUACGUGAAAUUGUUGAAAGGGAAACGCUUGAAGUCAGUCACAUUGGCUGGGGAUCAACUCUGCUCUUUUGCUGGGUGUACUUCCUAGUUAAUGGGUCAGCAUCAAUUUUGAUCACUGGAAAAAGGUAGAGGGAAUGUGGCAUCUUAGGAUGUGUUAUAGCCCUCUAUUGUAUACAGUGGUUGGGAUUGAGGAUAUCAGCACGCCGUAAGGCUGGGUCAUUGACCACACUCGUGCUUAGGAUGCUGGCAUAAUGGCUUUAAUCGAC
rnacentral:rRNA from 1 species